UUCUGGUUAGUUUAGUGGCUAUGACGGCGCCUUGUCAUGUCUCAUCGACAGAGAAGCGCGCUCGGCGCAGACCCGGGUUCAAUUCCCGGACCGGAAG